rnacentral:lncRNA from 1 species
AAAUGACUUCUCAUUGCAAGAGAAAAGUUGGUAAUUUUUUUGAAGGGGGGAGGAACUUUUGUUGGGACAACCUCCUGCGGGGUGGGGAUCGGAUUUAAAUAUUCCCAGGGAGUUGGAGGAACGAACAAUUUCGAUUUGGGUCCGAACCCAGUUUUGCAAUCACCACUAGCUAUCAGUACAAGACAGCGCCCUGGACCCGGAAUGGACCCACCUCCCCCAGAAUCGUGGCGUCCACCACCUUCCCGCCCUUCCUCGGGUUGGUGUGGCGCCAGGCGUGAGCUGAAGGGCGCUUACAUCCCACACCCCAAGCUCCAGCGGUCCAUCCACACGCUGGAGCCGCCCGAAGGAACCGAGAGUCCUCCCUCGGUCUGGCGCGGAGGCCAGGGAACCGCGCGAUUGCGCUGCCUCUGGGGAGCGCCAAGGGCCCGCAGG